rnacentral:rRNA from 1 species
GACGAACGCUGGCGGCGUGCUUAACACAUGCAAGUCGAACGGAAAGGCCCUGCUUUUGUGGGGUGCUCGAGUGGCGAACGGGUGAGUAACACGUGAGUAACCUGCCCUUGACUUUGGGAUAACUUCAGGAAACUGGGGCUAAUACCGGAUAGGAGCUCCUGCUGCAUGGUGGGGGUUGGAAAGUUUCGGCGGUUGGGGAUGGACCCGCGGCUUAUCAGCUUGUUGGUGGGGUAGUGGCUCACCAAGGCUUUGACGGGUAGCCGGCCUGAGAGGGUGACCGGCCACAUUGGGACUGAGAUACGGCCCAGACUCCUACGGGAGGCAGCAGUGGGGAAUAUUGCACAAUGGGCGGAAGCCUGAUGCAGCAACGCCGCGUGCGGGAUGACGGCCUUCGGGUUGUAAACCGCUUUCGCCUGUGACGAAGCGUGAGUGACGGUAAUGGGUAAAGAAGCACCGGCUAACUACGUG